CUAAAGUUGGGACUGCUGAAGUGUCAAACCCUUAAUAAACUCAUGCUUUUUGUUUUUUUUAGGAUAUCCCCCAACAGAUUGGUGGUGUAGACUGUGGAGUCUUCAUGUUGAUGUAUGCUCUACAUCUUGUCUUGGGAGCACCCUUUGAUUUUACAUCUUGCGACUUUCCAAACAUACGGAGAUGGUUGGCUCUUAUUCUUCUGGAGAACUUUGGGGUUUUCUCUGAAAGUGCAGAAACCCUACAAGAGUCCCUUCCAUGUGAAGAACAAGCUAUGCUUAGCAGCAGUGAGGUGG